CCCUGCCUUCUCCUUCACUCUUCUUCCCGUUCCUCCUCCAUGGCUACCCGUACAGCUUCUACCUUCUUCAUGGAAAAUCUGGUACGGAAACAGGCAUCAAGGUGCCCAAGGAAUUUCUGGAAACUACAAAGGUUCUCAGCCCAGUGCUCAGCCAGGGCCUGCUCUUCCUUAUCCAGAGAUGGCCUCUUCUUACCCACCCUGCUAGGUCCAGCAUAAUCUCCCUGAGCUCAGAGAAGGGUGUGUCUGUAAAAACCAAGGGGACUCGGCCUUUGAGGGGACCGAGGCAGUCACACAUUUUAACCAGGCAUGAUGGUUGAGCCACAUGACCUACACCUGCCUGGGGUCCAGGCCUGGUUCCCAUGAAUGGGCACUUCUGGUUCACUUGGAUACAGAAUUCUGCAUCAGGAGUCUGUCUGGAUCCUGGAUUCCAGGAUCUACCGUGGGUAAUUGGGUUCCCAGGACAAUGUAUGCCCUACUUCUGUGGCAUGCUAUAUGUACCCCACUCAGCAGCCUGGUGUGUCUGGUAUGGCCGCCCCAACCUCCCACCGUCUUCUUCUGGUAUCUGAAUGGCAUGCUGUCAGAUCUAGUGGCAUACCCUUCCUGGUCAGCCCAGAGUGCUCUGAGGGGGCAGCCAGUGGCAUCUGCGCUUGGUACGGCCUGAGUGUUCUCUCUGUCCUUACCAUUGCCUCCAUUUAAGGCAUAUGCCAAAUGAAUUCACUGUCCUCAGUACAGAGGGUGGGGUGGCGUGCCUGGUCUCAGGGCACUGGUUGUUUAUGGUGACUUUGGAAGCCACCGGAAGGGCGGGGGACCAAGAACGAAGCUGGUUUUGUCUCCUUAUUGUUUGCUUUGGUCAGGUCGGUUCCUCUUAACGCUCAGUUCAGCCUGUCACGUCCCACUGAAUUUGACAGGUUCUUGGUAAGUCACAGUCAGUGGUCACUCCCAGCCGACAUGGAGGCCUUUGUCUCUGGGGGCUUUCCUUAGGGAUGCUCUUGACUCCCUAGAAGAAUGGCUACUGGGUGGGACAUGGGAGCUAUCUGUUGCCACCCCCCCCCCCCCGGCUCCGAGCUCUCUUUGGGUGCUGAGGUGACUUUGACUGCCACGGCUGUGAUUGCCAAACAGGAACAGCAGAAAAAAAAAAGCCCCAAAUAAACAAACUCUACAGCUCUGCCCCACCUACUUCUUGGUCCUUCCUGAGGAAGUCCUCCCAUGACCCCUAACCUCCUCUGGCUCUACUUCCCUCUCCUUGGCAUCCCUGAGACCCAUUUGAACAGGUUGUCUCUGACCAGAGGCUUUCCCUCUCAGACUGGAAGGGCAUCUACUUUUGCUGAGCUCAGAUAGGAUCCUCUCCAGGUCUUGUUAGGACCCAGGGCCCCAGGGACUGAGUGCCUAUCAAAUCAAAGUCUGUGGUAGUAAGGGUAGCAAGAGAUAAGGAAUGUUGAGUUUCACUGGAGACUUCCCAGGUGCUUCCUGGAUAUGCUCCAGGCAUGCUUGGGUCUGGGCAAUGCCAGCUGGCAAGGAUAUGAGGAUCUUUGUGGCUGUCUGGGACUCUGGAGAUCUCCUUUAUCACUUCCAGUGACCUCUGACCUGUCUCCCUUACUCUUCUCUGCUUCUCUUCCACGAUUUCCUGUUGUUCUCUCUGCUCUUCCCUGACCUGUCCCUCAUGGUUAGGGAGGAGAGGCGUCUGGCUGGAUGGUCUUAUAGGAAUGGCAUUCAUGUCUAUGUCAUAGUUUCAGUGUCUCUUUUCUGUCUUGCUCUCCUUGGGACGGCCCUGGCAGCCUCUCCCUGUAAGAGAGCGGAAAGUGCUUGCUUCGUGAACAUCGGUAGGAGUACUGGCCAGCCUUUGAGCCAGCAUCAGUGAAUCAGGGGAACAUGGGAAGAAAGAGUGUCUCGGAACUGCUUCAGGCCUCCACAGACCUGCUCAUGUUCUUCCUUCAUCUUGGUUCCUUUCAAAUGUAUUCCUGUGUUGUCCAUGACAGAGGACUCUGCCUGCUCAGUGCCUAUUCUCUUCCUCGGGGGUCUUCCCUGGAGGUAGGGCUAAGCUGAGGCUCUAGGGGAGGCAGGGAUGGGGGAGUGUAGCUCUCUAGCCUCUGAGCAUCCUGAGGAUUCCAGAGUGGGGAGCAGAGGAUGGCUUUGGGGAGGAUGCAGGGUUUGUAGAAAGGGCGGAGAGAUGAGGCCCAUUCCGUGUGCCAGGCAAGCUUUGUACACCCUUGGCAGAGGCACCAGCUCAGGUAAAGAGCUCUGAAAUACCUUCCAGGAGGGGCCCCAGGAAGAGGAAGAGCUGUAGGGGUGGAGCAGAGGAAGGGUGCUGCUCUAAGUACAAGCUGGGCGGUGCAGAUCUGUGUGGGAUGGUGACCGUGGUGACAGGAGCUGGCAUCACUCGAAUGUCACAGGUGACCCCUGUGAAAGGACCGUUAGACUAGGAUCUCGACCUGCAGGUGGAGAGACACUGCAUAGGGAGAUCAGUAUUUGGAGAGACUCCUGAUUCAGAAGUUGAAGUGGCUGAGGUCAGAGAGCCAUCGGUGACCUGGUGCGUGUUCUCCAAGGCCAACAUUAUGACCACCAUGAAGAGCUCGAACUGCAGGUUCUCUUUGUGCCGCUCUUGAGAAGAACUUCAAGUUGGGGUUGGAGUUGACCCAGGCCCCUCUGCACCCAGGGGGAUAGAACUUGAAGCUGGUCUUGGUGCUGUAGCUGAGCUCCAGCAGAGAAUGCUUCCAUGAGGGACCGGUGAACUCCUGCAGGCUGCUGAAGGGCUCUCACUUUCUGCUCGCCAUUUGCCCAUUUUAUAUCAAGGUGGUCAGCAACAGAAAGUAGGGGAACCAUGCUUUGUAUAAGUAGUUCCAAGAACAUUCAGCAAGUACAUGCGAAGUGCCAGGAUUCUGAUAACCGGAAAGUCUUGUGAAAUUGGGAAUAAAAAUAAGGAAGGUGGUGUCCCAGAUGCCAACCUUGGGACCUUUACUGGGAGAGGCUAGGAAUGUCUAACACAUGACAGAUGUGUCAUUGAUCAGCUGCUAAGGUGACAUCUCCAUUAUUGGAUCUUUGUAAGGGAUUCUGAGCUGGAGUACACUGGAUUGUUCUGUUUCUCAGUACUUAAGCCCCAUGGGUCAGACACUGCUGAGGCCCACUUUACAGAUUGAUAAGUGGAGUCUCACAGAGGUCAGUUACAAGGACAUGCAGCUGGGAUGAGGCUGUUCCUCUGGAGAGCUGUGCAGCUUCCCCUGAGGCGACUGAGCUCUUAGGGUGGAACACCAUGAGGAGAGAGACUAGAGAAAGUCCACACAUGGAAUGGUCAGCUGUGGGGAGUGAGGGAAGACCUAAGUGGAUAAAAUCCAGAGUGGAUGUGUGCUGUUGUCAUGGGCACCACCACGUCGAGGACCCUGAUAUCUGAGACCCAUGGGAAAUAUUAAAACCACCAUCAGGCUAGGUUGUAGGCAAAGUCUUCCCUUCAGUGUAUGCAAAAAACGAGCACCCUAGCUUCUUCUGCCUCCCAGGUACUUACAGCCCGAAGACUGCUCACCAACAGAGACUGCCCCUACAGCUUAGCUGACCCCGCCUUCCUGUUCAGCUCUACCAAUGACCCAGUGUCCCCAUUCAACUGUUCUAAUAAUCAUGCUGAGCUUCCGGGGUGCCUCACGUCUUCAUCGAGGAGCCCCGAACACCCAGUGCCAAUAUUUCUGCCUCUGUAUGUUUGUCUUUUCUUUAUUUCCUCAGUAACCCAGGCAAGCAAAUCCCUGGAGCUGUACUGGAGAAGGCGGAUGCGUCUGCCAGAAGCUGACCUAGAUAGAUGCUCUAGAGCCUGACUUGGCCUGCACCACCCACGGGGGACAUCUGGAUAUAUGUGUGCUCACUGCCCUCAGCUCAUCUUCCUUGUCUCCUGUGCUCUGCCAAGUCUCUUAGGAGCAUUCCUUUGGCCCCUGCUUCCUCGAUUUGCACAAGUCUCUCUCAUUUCAGAUCCCUUUCACACACCUGCCUCUCAUGUGUCAUUCUGUGUGCAUAGGUCUCACCUGUUGUAAAUAGGCCUUUCUUUAAGCUUGCUUACUGCUUUAAGACAACUUUUCUAUCAUUUUCCCUUUCUUCCAAAGGGUCCUUCUGGAGCUGGAGCUGGAGCUGGCUCAGUGGGUAAAGAUGCUGAAACCAAGUCUAGCUAACUGUGUUUGACCCCCCGAAACCCACAUGGUGGAUGGAGGGAGCUGACUCUAAGCUGCCUUCUGACCUUCACAUGCGCACCGUGUAGCAUAUCCUCUGUUGCUGCACACUUACAAUAAUAAAUAAAUAACAAAUAUAAAGAAUUUCAAAA